rnacentral:lncRNA from 1 species
CACCUCCCACUAUUUCUCAUGACUUUAAUGAGAAAUUAUUUCAUACAUUCAAAAUGUAUAAAAGUGGAUUAUAUUGGUAGAAGACAUUGUGUAGUAGCUUUGAAACAUUUCAAGCUUAUUUGUUUCAAUCUUCACUAAGUUUAAUGUCUUGUUAUUCAAGUGACUAAAGUCUUUAAACCUUUUAUAGAUUUAGACACUUCUUUCUUGGUUUGAUCACUAACACCAUUGACAUUUUAAAACAAUUUCAAGAAUGCCCAAUUAAUUGUUCAAAACUACUAAUUGAAUCAAGAGUGAUCUUGAUCAUUGUGUUUCAAGUGAUAACCAUAUAAGAAACGUUUUUCUUAUUACUCAUAUCAUUAUAAUGUGAUCUUCCUUUUCAUCAAGAAAGGAUUCUCUAGACUUUUGUCAAUUCAUAUAGAACUCAUAAGUAGACAAAUGGAACCAAAUCUAAAGAUUCAUUGUAUCCUUUUAUGUCCUACAUGUGAGAUCUAUCCAUAAUUGAUAAAUCUAAAGUUUGGUUUAUCACAUUACAAUUGAGUGACAUAACUCUUGUAUCUCAUCUAGGAUACAACAAGACAAUUUUCAAUUCAUAACACUACUUUAAGGAAAUAGUAU